rnacentral:rRNA from 1 species
UACGUAGGGUGCAAGCGUUGUCCGGAAUUAUUGGGCGUAAAGAGCUCGUAGGCGGUCUGUUGCGUCGGCUGUGAAAACCCGGGGCUCAACCCCGGGCCUGCAGCCGAUACGGGCAGACUAGAGUUCGGCAGGGGAGACUGGAAUUCCUGGUGUAGCGGUGAAAUGCGCAGAUAUCAGGAGGAAUACCAGUGGCGAAGGCGGCUGCCUGGCCUGUUCUUGACGCUGAGGCGCGAAAGCUGGGGGAGCAAACAGG